rnacentral:rRNA from 1 species
GCAUGGUUCGAAAUUGAAAGGCGGCUUCGGCUGUCACUUAUGGAUGGACCCGCGUCGCAUUAGCUAGUUGGUGAGGUAACGGCUCACCAAGGCAACUAUGCGUAGCCGACCUGAGAGGGUGAUCGGCCACACUGGGACUGAGACACGGCCCAGACUCCUACGGGAGGCAGCAGUAGGGAAUCUUCCGCAAUGGACGAAAGUCUGACGGAGCAACGCCGCGUGAGUGAUGAAGGCUUUCGGGUCGUAAAACUCUGUUGUUAGGGAAGAACAAGUGCUAGUUGAAUAAGCUGGCACCUUGACGGUACCUAACCAGAAAGCCACGGCUAACUACGUGCCAGCAGCCGCGGUAAUACGUAGGUGGCAAGCGUUAUCCGGAAUUAUUGGGCGUAAAGCGCGCGCAGGUGGUUUCUUAAGUCUGAUGUGAAAGCCCACGGCUCAACCGUGGAGGGUCAUUGGAAACUGGGAGACUUGAGUGCAGAAGAGGAAAGUGGAAUUCCAUGUGUAGCGGUGAAAUGCGUAGAGAUAUGGAGGAACACCAGUGGCGAAGGCGACUUUCUGGUCUGUAACUGACACUGAGGCGCGAAAGCGUGGGGAGCAAAC